rnacentral:lncRNA from 1 species
UUUUUAAAUAAUUAAUUUAGACGUAUUGGUUCAGUGGUUUCCUUUAUUUGAAUAAUUGGGAUUUUGUGAAUGUAAUAAAGGAUUUAUGGAUUUCUUACGAAAUGGAAAUGAUUUUCUACCCCUCGUGGUAGCGCGUUUUUAAAAGAUAAAAGUUUUCGGGUGGAAAACGAUUUUAAAAAGAUUUUCUUGGUUUUCAUUACUUAGUGUUUCAAAAUAAGUUUCCAGGUAGGAAACAUUUUAAACUAAUAGAUGUGGAUAUAUGAAUAUUUGUGAUGAAAUGAAUGCGGAUGUGAAUGUAUAUGGAUAUUGGUAUGUGUGUGGUUGUAUCUUGUACUUGUGCGACACCGUGCAA